UUUAAAUAUAAAGCCAACUUACAACAUAAUUUUUUUAACAUAUACACCCAAUCAAAUCACACAAUGUAACUUUGUAAUCAGUUUGUAAUCAGUGUUUCGAUAAUAUCUCCACAAAUAUCUGUAUCUAGUUUAUAUGUAAUUGGAUGCAUGUGUAAAAAAGAAUUCAAUGCAUAUAAAUUAUAUCCAAAAUCAACAUAGCAUAAACAACUUUAAUUAAAAUACCAAAUUUUGAAUCCAUAAUUGGAACUCUCGGGGCAAUGCAUCAACCCUCCCUUCAAAGACGAAUCUUCAGUAGGCUCCAUCGCCAUUUACCAUAUAUCAACAAUCCACCGCCACUCUCCACUUUCCCAAUCCAAACCGCUAUUUCCCGAUCCUAACCCUCAAUAUAAUGCAUCAAGCCACCCUUCAAAGACAAAUCACCCCUCAAUGUAAUGCAUCAUGCCACCCUUCAAAGACAAAUCACCGAUCAAAACAUUAUCAAUCCACCGCCACUCUUCACCCCGAUCCAAAUGCAUCAAUUUCCCGAUCCUAACCCUCAAGGUAAUGCAUCAAGCAUACCUUCAAAGACAGAUUGACACACUACCGAUACACAGCCACUCUUCGCCCUCUGCAGCACCACGAUCCCAAAUCGCCAAUUUCCCAAUCCUAACCCUCAAGGCAAUGCAUCAAGCCUACCUUCAAAGACAGAUUGGCACACUACCGAUACACAGCCACUCUUCACCCUCUGCAGCACCACAUCAUAAAUCGUCAAUUUCCCGAUCCUAACCCUCAAGGCAAUGCAUCAAGCCUCCCUUCAAACACGAAUCCCCGGUAGACUCCAUCCCCAUUUCCCGGCACAUUAACAAUCCACCGCCACUCUCCACCCUCUGCCAC
rnacentral:lncRNA from 1 species